rnacentral:rRNA from 1 species
AACGAACGCUGGCGGCAGGCUUAACACAUGCAAGUCGAACGCACCGCAAGGGGGGUGGCAGACGGGUGAGUAACGCGUGGGAAUCUACGCAUCUCUGCGUAAUAGCUCCGGGAUACUGGAAUUAAUAACGCAUCCGCCCUACGGCUGAAAGAUUUAUCGGGGAAGUAGGCGCCGGCGUUGGAUUAGCUAGUGGGUGGGGUAAAGGCCUACAAAGGCGACGAUCCAUAGCUGGUCUGAGAGGAUGAUCAGGCACAUUGGGACUGAGACACGGCCCAAACUCCUACGGGUGGCAGCAGGGGGGAAUAUUGGACAAUGGGCGAAAGCCUGAUGCAGCCAUGCCGCGUGAGUGAUGAAGGCCUUAGGGUUGUAAAGCUCUUUCACCGGUGAAGAUAAUGACGGUAACCGGAGAAGAAGCCCCGGCUAACUUCGUGCCAGCCGCCGCAGUAA